UACGAAGGGGGCUAGCGUUGCUCGGAAUCACUGGGCGUAAAGGGUGCGUAGGCGGGUCUUUUAAGUCAGGGGUGAAAUCCUGGAGCUCAACUCCAGAACUGCCUUUGAUACUGAAGAUCUUGAGUUCGGGAGAGGUGAGUGGAACUGCGAGUGUAGAGGUGAAAUUCGUAGAUAUCGGGAGGAACACCGGUGGCGAAGGCGGCGAUCUGGGUCGAUACUGACGCGUGAGGUGCGAAAGCGUGGGGAGCAAACAGG
rnacentral:rRNA from 1 species